AGGCUAUGAAGCCGGGGCGCCAGGUCUGGUGGAGCCAUCCUUGAAAUACCACCCUUACUGUCGUUGACGUCUAACCGAGGGCCGUUAUCCGGUCCCGGGACAUGGCGUGGUGGGUAGUUUGACUGGGGCGGUCGCCUCCCAAAGUGUAACGGAGGCGCGCGAUGGUGAGCUCAGAGCGGUCGGAAAUCGCUCGUCGAGUGCAAUGGCAUAAGCUGGCCUGACUGCGAGACUGACAAGUCGAGCAGAGGCGAAAGUCGGCCAUAGUGAUCCGGUGGUCCCGAGUGGAA
rnacentral:rRNA from 1 species